rnacentral:rRNA from 1 species
GACGAACGCUGUCGGCGUGCUUAACACAUGCAAGUCGAACGGAAAGGCCCUGCUUUUGUGGGGUGCUCGAGUGGCGAACGGGUGAGUAACACGUGAGUAACCUGCCCUUGACUUUGGGAUAACUUCAGGAAACUGGGGCUAAUACCGGAUAGGAGCUCCUGCUGCAUGGUGGGGGUUGGAAAGUUUCGGCGGUUGGGGAUGGACUCGCGGCUUAUCAGCUUGUUGGUGGGGUAGUGGCUUACCAAGGCUUUGACGGGUAGCCGGCCUGAGAGGGUGACCGGCCACAUUGGGACUGAGAUACGGCCCAGACUCCUACGGGAGGCAGCAGUGGGGAAUAUUGCACAAUGGGCGGAAGCCUGAUGCAGCAACGCCGCGUGCGGGAUGACGGCCUUCGGGUUGUAAACCGCUUUCGCCUGUGACGAAGCGUGAGUGACGGUAAUGGGUAAAGAAGCACCGGCUAACUACGUGCCAGCAGCCGCGGUGAUACGUAGGGUGCGAGCGUUGUCCGGAUUUAUUGGGCGUAAAGGGCUCGUAGGUGGUUGAUCGCGUCGGAAGUGUAAUCUUGGGGCUUAACCCUGAGCGUGCUUUCGAUACGGGUUGACUUGAGGAAGGUAGGGGAGAAUGGAAUUCCUGGUGGAGCGGUGGAAUGCGCAGAUAUCAGGAGGAACACCAGUGGCGAAGGCGGUUCUCUGGGCCUUUCCUGACGCUGAGGAGCGAAAGCGUGGGGAGCGAACAGGCUUAGAUACCCUGGUAGUCCACGCUGUAAACGGUGGGUACUAGGUGUGGGGUCCAUUCCACGGGUUCCGUGCCGUAGCUAACGCUUUAAGUACCCCGCCUGGGGAGUACGGCCGCAAGGCUAAAACUCAAAGAAAUUGACGGGGCCCCGCACAAGCGGCGGAGCAUGCGGAUUAAUUCGAUGCAACGCGUAGAACCUUACCUGGGUUUGACAUGGAUCGGGGGUGCUCAGAGAUGGGUGUGCCUCUUUUGGGGUCGGUUCACAGGUGGUGCAUGGCUGUCGUCAGCUCGUGUCGUGAGAUGUUGGGUUAAGUCCCGCAACGAGCGCAACCCUUGUUCACUGUUGCCAGCACGUUAUGGUGGGGACUCAGUGGAGACCGCCGGGGUCAACUCGGAGGAAGGUGGGGAUGACGUCAAGUCAUCAUGCCCCUUAUGUCCAGGGCUUCACGCAUGCUACAAUGGCUGGUACAGAGAGUGGCGAGCCUGUGAGGGUGAGCGAAUCUCGGAAAGCCGGUCUCAGUUCGGAUUGGGGUCUGCAACUCGACCUCAUGAAGUCGGAGUCGCUAGUAAUCGCAGAUCAGCAACGCUGCGGUGAAUACGUUCCCGGG